AUGAAACUAGAUACAAGCGAGCGGCGGACGGGUGAGUAACACGUUGGGUAACCUGCCCAAGAGACUGGGAUAACACCUGGAAACAGAUGCUAAUACCGGAUAACAACACUAGACGCAUGUCUAGAGUUUGAAAGAUGGUUCUGCUAUCACUCUUGGAUGGACCUGCGGUGCAUUAGCUAGUUGGUAAGGUAACGGCUUACCAAGGCAAUGAUGCAUAGCCGAGUUGAGAGACUGAUCGGCCACAUUGGGACUGAGACACGGCCCAAACUCCUACGGGAGGCAGCAGUAGGGAAUCUUCCACAAUGGACGAAAGUCUGAUGGAGCAACGCCGCGUGAGUGAAGAAGGGUUUCGGCUCGUAAAGCUCUGUUGGUAGUGAAGAAAGAUAGAGGUAGUAACUGGCCUUUAUUUGACGGUAAUUACUUAGAAAGUCACGGCUAACUACGUGCCAGCAGCCGCGGUAAUACGUAGGUGGCAAGCGUUGUCCGGAUUUAUUGGGCGUAAAGCGAGUGCAGGCGGUUCAAUAAGUCUGAUGUGAAAGCCUUCGGCUCAACCGGAGAAUUGCAUCAGAAACUGUUGAACUUGAGUGCAGAAGAGGAGAGUGGAACUCCAUGUGUAGCGGUGGAAUGCGUAGAUAUAUGGAAGAACACCAGUGGCGAAGGCGGCUCUCUGGUCUGCAACUGACGCUGAGGCUCGAAAGCAUGGGUAGCGAACAGGAUUAGAUACCCUGGUAGUCCAUGCCGUAAACGAUGAGUGCUAAGUGUUGGGAGGUUUCCGCCUCUCAGUGCUGCAGCUAACGCAUUAAGCACUCCGCCUGGGGAGUACGACCGCAAGGUUGAAACUCAAAGG
rnacentral:rRNA from 1 species